rnacentral:rRNA from 1 species
UACGGAGGGGACUAGCGUUGUUCGGAAUUACUGGGCGUAAAGCGCACGUAGGCGGAUUUGUAAGUCAGGGGUGAAAUCCCGAGGCUCAACCUCGGAACUGCCUUUGAUACUGCGAAUCUCGAGUCCGGAAGAGGUGAGUGGAAUUCCUAGUGUAGAGGUGAAAUUCGUAGAUAUUAGGAAGAACACCAGUGGCGAAGGCGGCUCACUGGUCCGGUACUGACGCUGAGGCGCGAAAGCGCGGGGAGCAAACAGG